rnacentral:rRNA from 1 species
GUCACACGUAGUUUGACUCCUGGACUCAGAACGAACGCUGGCGGCAUGCCUAACACAUGCAAGUCGAACGAGACCUUCGGGUCUAGUGGCGCACGGGUGCGUAACACGUGGGAAUUUGCCUCGGGGUAUGGAAUAACUCAGGGAAACUUGAGCUAAUACCAUAUAAUGUCUUCGGACCAAAGAUUUAUCGCCUUUAGAUGGGCCCGCGUUGGAUUAGCUAGUUGGUGGGGUAAAGGCCUACCAAGGCGACGAUCCAUAGCUGGUCUGAGAGGAUGAUCAGCCACACUGGGACUGAGACACGGCCCAGACUCCUACGGGAGGCAGCAGUGGGGAAUAUUGGACAAUGGGCGAAAGCCUGAUCCAGCAAUGCCGCGUGAGUGAUGAAGGCCUUAGGGUUGUAAAGCUCUUUUACCCGAGAUGAUAAUGACAGUAUCGGGAGAAUAAGCUCCGGCUAACUCCGUG